GCGUGUGGAUGGUGUUCAUCACCAAGGACAGGUGUGUUCACCUGCAUGUGAUUGGAGUUCAGCACCAAUGACAGGUGUGUUUACCU
rnacentral:pre_miRNA from 1 species